GACGAACGCUGGCGGCGUGCUUAACACAUGCAAGUCGAACGGAAAGGCCCUGCUUUUGUGGGGUGCUCGAGUGGCGAACGGGUGAGUAACACGUGAGUAACCUGCCCUUGACUUUGGGAUAACUUCAGGAAACUGGGGCUAAUACCGGAUAGGAGCUCCUGCUGCAUGGUGGGGGUUGGAAAGUUUCGGCGGUUGGGGAUGGACUCGCGGCUUAUCAGCUUGUUGGUGGGGUAGUGGCUUACCAAGGCUUUGACGGGUAGCCGGCCUGAGAGGGUGACCGGCAACAUUGGGACUGAGAUACGGCCCAGACUCCUACGGGAGGCAGCAGUGGGGAAUAUUGCACAAUGGGCGGAAGCAUGAUGCAGCAACGCCGCGUGCGGGAUGACGGCCUUCGGGUUGGAAACCGCUUUCGCCUGUGACGAAGCGUGAGUGACGGUAAUGGGUCAAGAAGCACCGGCUAACUACGU
rnacentral:rRNA from 1 species